rnacentral:rRNA from 1 species
GAUGAACGCUGGCGGCGUGCUUAACACAUGCAAGUCGAACGAGAAGUGAAGACGGAAACCUUCGGGCGGAAGGCUUUAUUUCGAGUGGCGGACGGGUGAGUAACGCGUGGGUAACCUGCCUCAUACAGGGGGAUAACAGUUGGAAACGACUGUUAAGACCGCAUAAGACCACAGCACCGCAUGGUGCGGGGGUAAAAACUCCGGUUGUAUGAGAUGGACCCGCGUUCGAUUAGCCAGUUGGCGGGGUAACGGACCACCAAAGCGACGAUCGAUAGCCGAUCUGAGAGGAUGACCGGCCACAUUGGGACUGAGACACGGCCCAAACUCCUACGGGAGGCAGCAGUGGGGAAUAUUGCACAAUGGGGGAAACCCUGAUGCAGCGACGCCGCGUGAGUGAAGAAGUAUUUCGGUAUGUAAAGCUCUAUCAGCAGGGAAGAAAAUGACGGUACCUGAGUAAGAAGCCCCGGCUAACUACGUG